AGGUAUAAAAUAAAUAGUUAAAAUCGAACAACAUUCUAAAAAUGGAUGAUCGGAUCCUUCAAUUUAAGAUUGGAGUUAUUGAUCUUUAUUUAGGUAGUGAAUAGAAUUUUCUAUCAAAAAUUCAACUUAUUCUGAUUCUUUUUCACCGUUAAACUAGCAAAUAUCUCAUAUCGGCCGUUAAAAAUUGUCAAUUUUGUGAGCUUUUGAUCGUAAGAUAAAUGAUAUCGAAAAAUUAUAAAAUUUGAUUUCUAGAAGUUUUAAAUACUUUAGAUAAUGUUUAACGGUAUGGAUCGUCGAUUCGAAAACUCUAUCAUCGAAAAUAACUUAUGAGUACGAAGGCGAUCGUACUCAUAAGAGUAUAGUAUCCGGACUAUAU
rnacentral:lncRNA from 1 species